rnacentral:rRNA from 1 species
UACGUAGGGCGCAAGCGUUGUCCGGAAUUACUGGGCGUAAAGCGUGCGCAGGCGGCGCGUUAAGACAGGUGUGAAAGCCCCGAGCUUAACUUGGGAAUUGCGCUUGUGACUGGCGUGCUGGAGUGUGGCAGAGGGAGGUGGAAUUCCACGUGUAGCAGUGAAAUGCGUAGAGAUGUGGAGGAACACCGAUGGCGAAGGCAGCCUCCUGGGCCAGCACUGACGCUCAUGCACGAAAGCGUGGGGAGCAAACAGG